UCCUGCGUCUCCUGCAGGCGAUGCUGCGUCUGGUAGUUGUCUACCGACUUCAGGCCCUCGUGGAUGGUGACGCACGCGGACUCCAUCUGGGACGAAGACGGCAACAAAGGAAAUGGGGCACAGGAAAUUUUAGGUGGAAGGGGUCGCAGUGGCCCGCGAGGAAUCCACGACGUUGAUGGCGCAAUUGCGAUAAAAUUGGAGAAAAACAUCACAAUCAAGAACAACAACAAAAGACACAUGGGCGAGCGGAGUUACCUGCGUGAGGGCGACCACGCGGGUCCCCUCGUCACGGAAGAGGGGCGCCUCCUCGCCGACCUGCAGGUCAAAGUAGACAGUCUUGUGCGUAAACGUCGAGAACUCGUUGCUGAAGCAGAUCUCGUAGGUGCCGCGCUGCUCCGUGGUCCACGCGUAGCUGUCGUACUGCUUGCGGUUCUCGUUGUACAGGACGCUGUCGUGUGGCCCCUUCACCCGGCAGUCCACGUCGUAGUUGCCGCCCGUGAUGACCUGUGCGAGCGGCACGCCCGUCAGAUUUUAGUCCGAUCGCGCGAAUACCGCUCGAGAGCGCGGGGCUACACUUAACGUCAAAAGCACGAGGGAGAAAGAGCGUGCAGUGGGCACGGGAUCCCCGUAACGCUCUUCAGCGUGCAUUUUUUCCCCGGGGAGUAUUUAAUUGGCGACAAUAACGUUGUGUUCAAGGCCGUGGCAAACCAGAUGACAUCACAUGUGUAUGAUGUCAUCACCUUGCUUGGAAAGGCUUAAUCCUUUCCUUUGAACAAUUUAUCCAAUAUCUCUAGGGUCAGGCUCUAGCAGUAACACAACUGUAUACCAAAGUUGCAUUCACAUCAGAACCUUUGGGUACGGUUGGCUACGUACCAUGCAAAAAAAGUUCAACAUACGUAUAUAAUAAGACACCUUUACGAGAGUUAUCGUUCCAACCUCGUUACGUAAAUACAGGUGCAGCUUAUGCACUCACGCAUUCACCGUUGGUUGAAAAGCGUUAAACAGAAACUCGAGGUACACGGGUGUUUGCGCAGAAAAUACAAACUUUAAUGACGGACUACUGGGAUUUGACAGAGCUAGAAAGUUUGUCAAACAGCUCUUGGCACAAAGCCACGACGACCACGCACCUCGCCGCAGUGAAUACGUGGCAGACCGGCGAACUGAUGUCCAUUGAACAAGACGUAACAGCACCGCUUUCUAAUUUGUAACUACAAUUUCGAUUACCAGCAAUGGAUAAAAAGAACCGAUUAUUAAGAGGUUAAACGAAUAAGAAUACAGUUCGUCCAACCGUCACAUAUACCGCCCUUACCAAUUAACCGCCCUGACCAAUUAACCGCCCACACCCAGUAAAGCAAUUGUGCAAAUGCCAUUUUCUGCAAACCCGACUUUCACAUAUCCGCCGAUACAUCAGUCCCCAGCGAGUCGCAUGUGACUUUGCACUGCAAUGUCAAUUCUUACGCUCGUGAUACGAGCAUUGAAGAAUGUAAUUGCGCGUGAAACAAUUUAUGUUUAUUGAUAUGUUUACGUUGUAUGUCAUGGGGAAAAUUAGAGACCAACAACGCCACUGCUUCAGUGAUUCCUAAUUCGCAGUCCCUCCCUAUACCCUAGGUCACAGAGUAGAUAUGUUAUGAUAGGCCCUUUGCCCGUUUUGUAAUGUAUAAGGAUUUAAGCGGACACUGCGUUGUUUGUAUUACAGUAACCAUUCCUUAUAAAUAACAGAUGCACAUUUAAA